CAUGUACCAUUUUACUAAAAUAUGCAACUGAAUAGCCAACAUUUUCAUCAUAAAUAUUAUGAUGAUAAAAUAUUAUAACUUAAAAUCAUAAAAGUACAUAUUGGAAAAGACCUUAAAAUCAGCAAGCUCAACAAGUGAUUCAUUGCUUUUCCAGCUGGUGCUUGGACAUUGCCUGCGAUGUAGAACUCACUGCCUCAGGGACAAACAAUUUCAUCUUUAACAUUUACAGAGUAUUACCACUAGACUGUCCAUCAGGGAUCUCAAAUGUAACAUGUUCAAUACUUAAUUCGUAAAGUUGUUUCAUAAUUUUGUUUCUAGUUAAUUGAGGAGCUGGGCUUACCAGAAAAGAGCAGGCAGUAAUGAGGAUAACAUUAUUCCAUCAAUAAUUAACCACAGAUUAUAUUUUAAGCAUUCAUUUUUAUUUUAUUACUAAGGCCAAAGAAAGAGGUCAGUAAAAAUUGUUACCUUAUCUCCUUGGGAUUUUCCAAGAUCACCUUGUUAGAGCUUAAUGCUCCAUUUAUGUUAGAAGACAAUUGCGUCAGUCAGAGUUCCAAGCAAAAAGCAGCUGGUACAUUCAAAAGGGUUUGAGGCAUGUUAAUGAAGGGACAUUUACAAAGGUGUGGGCAGAGUUCAGGGAAAUUAACAGAGUAGUUGUUCACCACUGCAAGCAUUUCAAGGAUAUCAAUGGUGGAGAACCAUCAGCAGCUGUAGGCAUGAGAGAGUGAGAAAGGAGCAGGUAUCAGAACCCAGGGCAAGUGAUGAUACAAAAUGACACCCCAUCCCCUGCCUCCAGAAAAACUGUGGCCUCGGGAGGAGGCAUGCUGCCUGGAAGCUCAACCAGGAGAACAGAUACCCUGACCCCACUGUCUCCACCACCCGCAGAGCUCCUGUUGGUGGCUGAGUUCUCGCUGCUACUAAUUGGAAGACAGAAGACAAGAUUCCUUAGUAACACAGCCCAGGACACAGUAUUACAUGUCGUCCAAUACAUUACCUGAGUCUUUUCUCUUCCUACUCCUCUCUGGACACUUAUCCCUACCAUAUUCUCCCAUUUCUAUCUCCCAAAUCAGCAACAGGAAGGCUAACUAGUUUGAAAGUAGCCUUAGAUAAUGAAGAGAAAUAAUAAUCCUACAGAUCUAGGAGGUUUUGCCAUGUGACAAUGUUAGCAUGUAUCUCUUGGAUUGAACAAAUUAAUUCUAAAAGAAAUUUUACGACCUUUCUUCCAUAUUUUUGUAUCAUAAUUAGCAGACCAAACUGGCUGAUAUGCAUGUAUAAAUUUUAUACGCAUACCAAUGUGUAUUAGAGACUAUUUAGUGUUCACACAUCAAAUAAACUUUUUUCUUUUGCUCUGAUUCCUUUCUGAGACUUAUCUAACUAUUCGUUGUUAAAGCCUUUAUUAAGCUUUAAACACUGGUAAUGUAAGUUCUAAUCUCUGAAUUACUAGCCUAAUUGCUUUAUCCCUAUCCUCAAUAUCUUCAAAGCCUUGCCUUUUGGGAAUUAUGUCUUGACUAAAAGUUCUCUGAGACUAAAAUUUUCUGAGCAAGCAGUCUCAGAACCAGAUUUUCCAAUGGGAUCUGUUUACAUCAUUGAAGAUGAGAGGUCUGAUGAACAGAAUUUAUAUCAGAUAAGCCACGUACAUUGUGAGAAAAAAGGAC
rnacentral:lncRNA from 1 species